UUGUUGUGGUCAAAUGCAGAUGGCAUUUCACAUGCGAGAUCUUGGGAAUCAGGCAUGGAGGUGCUUCAGAAUGGGGACAUCAGUGCACAACCAGAGAGCUGAAUGUUUUAACAGUAUUUUAAAGCGGACAUGGAUUAAGAAAUGGCUGACAACAUUUGAGGCCAUGAUGGAGUCUGGAUCC